AGAAAAGCAGUCAAGGUAUAUAACGUCAGAACGAAUAUAUGUAACUAUAACAGUAUUAAAAUUAGUGUCGCAGCCAGUGUAAGAAAAUCAGUUAAGUGUUAGAAAAGCAGUCAAGGUAUAUAACGUCAGAACGAAUAUAUGUAACUAUAACAGUAUUAAAAUUAGUGUCGCAGCCAGUGUAAGAAAAUCAGUUAAGUGUUAGAAAAGCAGUCAAGGUAUAUAACGUCAGAACGAAUAUAUGUAACUAUAACAGUAUUAAAAUUAAUGUCGCACCCAGUGUUAGAA